AUGCUCCUGGUGCUCCUCCCAGUGCUGGGGUUAAAAUUUCUGAGAGACUCCAGAGCACAGUCAGUGACUCAGCCUGACUCCCAAGUCACUGUCAGUGAAGAAGCCUCUUUGCAGCUGAGAUGCAACUAUUCCUCCAGGGUGGCGCCUUAUCUGCACUGGUAUGUCCAGUAUCCACAGCAAGGGCUGCAGCGUCUCCUUGGGUAUUAUUCUGGAGACACCCUGGUUCGUGGCUUGAGCGGCUUUGAGGCUGAGUUUAUCAAGCAGGACUCUUCCUUCCACCUGAAGAAAGCCUCUGUGCACCUGAGUGAUUCGGCUCUGUACUUCUGUGCUCUAGGUGCACAGUGUCUGGGGCUGCAGGGGGAGCUGAACAUAAACACCCAUGGCAGUGGAGUGCUCAGACUCAAGGUCUCUCCUUGGGUCUUUGAAGGAUCUCUUUCAACUUAG